AUUUAAAUAUUAAAUAAAAAAAGAAAUUAAUCGUUAAUACUAUAUAGUUUAGAGAAGCUUGCAUAGGUCCAGUUUCUUCAUCAUCUUCACCUCUCAAAGAACCAAAAAAGCAUCAGAAGCAAUAAUCAGAAUUGACACCCUUUGAUCUUGUUGAUUACUAUGAGAAGAUGAUAGACCUCAAGUACAUUUGGGUUCUUGUUUCAAUCAACAGAUACGUUCAUGAAACCUUGUCAAAUGAGAGAACAAGGAAUGCUCUAAAGCUGAAAUGCACCUCAAAACUAAGGAUUCAAAAGCAAGAGUUCUUUGAAUUCUCUGAGCAAUCAGUGCUAUCCAAUUUGUACUGGGGAAUUGACAGCAUUGAAGCUGCAAUUCAAGCUCAGAAGCCAGAGGAAAAGUCCUUCAGGCUCAUGAACUCAGAACAAAUGCUUCAGGUACCAGCAAUGCUUGAUGAGGAAGAAGUAACCGCCACGGUUUCAAACCGUUACUUGGUGUGCUGCUCCUAUUUUUACCUCUCAGUUGUUAGGAACCUGCAGGGUGAUGAGUGGCAAUCUGCACUGCAUUUUCUUCAAGCUGUGUUGGUGUCACCAAGGAUUGUUUGCAAUGAAUUUGCAACUGAACUUUCUCAGAGCCUUUUCCCUCAAGAAACCAUCAUGUUGCUGAGAAGGAAGAAGCAGAAUGUGAAGAACAACAGUGGAAGCAUGAGGUUGGGGUGUGUGAGUUCUACUUCUGAGGAUGAAGUGAAUGAAGCAAUUAGGGAUAUUGCAAGAAGUUAUAAGGAAGGUUUGGUGUAUUAUCAGGUUAUGCUUUAUGGAGAGAAUCCAUGGUGGAGAAGUUAUUGCAGCACCAAACACCAAUCACCACAAUAUGUGGAUGCACCAAAUACCAGCUGUGUUUCUCCUAAUUCAUUUCAACAUGAACCAAGAUUGAAAACCUGCAAUAUGUAUGAUAAAGUUCAUCCACUUGGUCCCCAAGAUGUGAUGCAUAAUAUGGAAGACAGAAAAUUUCACAUAAGAGCCAAAAUAACAAAAGCAAAUGAUCUACAGAGAGAAACUUAUGACAGGAAGCUACAUCAAUCCUAUGCCUUGGAUCAUGCUGUGAAAUAUUCCGGGCAAGAACAGCUGAAUGAAAGAAGUGUGGUUAAUUUUGAUUCGACCAUAUUCAACAGAGCCAGAGAAGAUUCUACUUUAUCCAUCUCAAAUUUCCAUGUAGAUGAUGGAAUAAUUGAGGAAGCAUUGCAGCCACUAAAAUUCCAUCUCUUUGACAAUGUAACAUCUAAAUCUCCUUCCAAACAUUGGCUCAGCCAGAAAGAUCAUGAAGAAAGUUCUAAAACAAAAUCACGAAGAUAUUCCCUACAGGAUCUUUCAGGAGUGAUUGAAAGAAUCUCAGAACUGCAUUAUUCAGAAGCAUUAGGAAAGUGUGGACAAGAAUAUACGGUUGACAUUGCAUCUAUCUACGAGUAUUUGACCGAUUCAUCAGGCACUAGUUAUGCUUCCUUGAGGGAUGCCAUCUUGGAUGAACUGCUAGUAGCUAUCUCAACAUCCAAAGAGGAAAGAGAAAUUAGAGCUUCUGUGUCUAUUCUCACUACAAUAAUUUCAAGAAACAAAUCAGUCAUAGAAGACAUCAAGAAGAAAGGUUUAAAGUUGUGUGAUCUUGCUAGUGCUCUAAAACAAAAUGUUCAUGAGGCUGCAAUUCUCAUCUAUUUGAUAAAUCCAUCACCUAUAGACAUAAAAACAUUGGAACUUCUACCAAUACUUGUUGAGAUUGUAUGCACCUCACAUAGUUACAAGAAUAAGCCAGAGCCCCUUCUUCUGACGCCUCAUGCAGCAUCAUUGAUGAUCAUUGAAGAACUAGUGACUUCGUUCGACUAUGCAACAAAUAACAUGCAUUUGGCUGCGAUUAGUUCCCCUCAUGUUCUCAGUGGACUUCUAGAAGUUGCUAGGAAUGAUAAUCUAGAAGAGUUUUUCUCUUUAACCACCAUUCUUAUAAAAUGCAUGCAGUUUGAUGCACAAUGUAGACAGUAUGUAUCACAAUACACUCCUCUUGCUCCUUUUAUCCAUCUUCUGCAGACGGAAAAUACCCGCGCCAAAUGUAUGGCACUUGAAUUUUUCCAUGAAAUCCUUUGCAUACCGCGAUCAUCAGCCAUUAAUCUGUUGCAGCGUAUACAGCAAGAAGGAGGCAUCAAUGUUAUGCAGAUACUAAGGAUUUGUACUCAUCAAUUACAACCUGAUCACCAGCUUUUUGCAGUAAACAUACUACUUCAGUUAGAAACAUUGAACCCAUGUGAUAAAAGCUUGUUCAGAGUAGAAGCAGUGAAGGUCCUUCUAAGGGCAUUGGUAUCUCAGGAAAGCUCAGCGCAGAUAUUAUCUGCAUCCAUUUUAUCAAAUCUUGCAGGAACAUAUGCGUGGACAGGAGAACCAUAUACAGCUGCAUGGUUGCUGAGGAAGACAGGAUUGAACUCUCCCUAUCACCACAAUAUGAUAAGAAACUUCAACUGGUUGGAUCAGAGUCUACAGGAUACUGGCACAGACUUAUGGUGCAGUAAAAUUGCAAAAUCUAUGUUAAGUGUUGGAGAUUCCAUCUUCCAUGCUUUAGAGAGUGGAUUAAGAAGCAAGAUGAAAAUGGUCUCUAGAGAUUGUCUUGUAGCAAUUUCAUGGCUCGGAUGUCAAAUAUCUAAAAGCUCGGAUAGCCUCAGAUAUUCGGCAUCCGAGAUCAUACUGAGUGGAAUUGAGCAAUUCCUGCAUCCUGGGAUGGAGCUAGAAGAAAGACUUCUAGCAUGUCUAUGCAUUUAUAAUUAUGCCACUGGUAAAGGAAAGCAGAAACUGAUUCAUUUCUCUGAAGGAGUAAAGGAAUCGUUACGACGUCUUUCAAAUGUAACUUGGAUGGCUGAGGAGUUACACAAAGUAGCUGAUUUCCUGUUGCCAAACAUAUCACGUAUUUCUUGUGUUCACACGCAAAUCCUUGAGACAAGUCGAAACUUCAACAUAGCAGUUUUCUCCCUCAUAUACUACAAGGGACUCCUAUUCAGUGGAUAUUCAGAUGGUUCAAUCAAGGUGUGGGAUAUUAGAGGGCACUCAGCUAGUCUUGUAUGGGACAUUAAGGAGCACAAGAAGUCCGUGACAUGCUUUUCGCUAUCUGAACCAUCGGAUAGCCUCUUAAGUGGAUCCACCGAUGGAACCAUAAGGGUGUGGAGAAUGGUCCAGAGAAAGUUGGAAUGUGUUGAAGUAAUAGUCUUCAAGGAACCAAUCCAUCAGUUACAUGCAUCGGGUGAAACAAUUUUCGCGAUUACUGAAAGCCAAGGAAUAAAGAUAGCUAAUGAUUCAAGGGCAAUCAGAAAUAUUUUCAAAGGUAAGCAUGUAAAAUGCAUGACACUAACUAGAGGAAAGUUAUACAUUGGCUGCACAGAUUCAAGCAUACAGGAGUAUUCCACAACAUACAACAGGGAACAAGAAAUCAAACCACCAACAAGGAGUUGGAUCAAGCAAAGUAAGCCAAUACAUUCAAUUGUAGCAUAUAGAGAUUGGCUCUAUAGUGCAAGUAAGCAUGUUGAAGGCACAACAUUCAAGAUGAAUUCUUUAGGAAUGGAAGAAAAAAAUUGGGAAACCCAAGAUUUCAAUCCAUUCUGACAAAGGAGAUAGUGUGAUGGCUAUGGAAGUGGUAGAAGACUUCAUAUACCUAAUCUCCAGCUCAUCUGCAAAUAGCAUUCAGAUCUGGUUGAGAGGGACACCGAAAAAACUCGGGAGAAUAUCGGCCGGAAGCAAGAUUACAAGCCUUCUUGCCGCGAAUGACAUUAUUCUUUGUGGUACUGAGAUGGGACAAAUCAAGGGAUGGAUCCCUUUGUAGGAAGAGUUUCAACACACACUUCCCUUUCAAGUUAAUUUGGUUUCAUGAGGGCGUAGUCAACUUCCAAAAUCUAAUGCCACAAGAUUGUAAUAGCUUCAGUUGCCAAAAGCUAAGAGUACAUAAUUUACAUAUCAGGGAUCACUGUAUAGUAAAUAUUAUUAUUGUACAGAAAAAAAAGACAUUGUAACAAAUGUUAUUAUACUAAGCUAGGCUGAUAUCCCUUUCAGCUAUGAUUUUGCAAAUUUAUAUGAAGUGUUAUCUUAAUUGUGAAAUGGAACCUCAUUGUAAUCAGGUGAAAUAAAUCAAACGCAAAGCAGCAACUACAAAAUGUACAUUUUUCCCCCUUUCA